rnacentral:snRNA from 1 species
GAGUGUUACAGCUCUUUUAGAAAUUGUCUAGCAGGUUUUGCAGUUGCUACCAGAAAGCCCCC